UACGUAGGGUGCAAGCGUUGUCCGGAAUUAUUGGGCGUAAAGAGCUCGUAGGCGGUUUGUUGCGUCGGCUGUGAAAUCCCGAGGCUCAACCUCGGGUCUGCAGUCGAUACGAGCAAACUAGAGUGUUGCAGGGGAGACUGGAAUUCCUGGUGUAGUCGGUGAAAUGCGCAGAGUAUCGAGGAGGAACACCGGUGGCGAAGGCGGGUCUCUGGGCCGAUACUGACGCUGGAGGAGCGAAAGCGUGGGGAGCGAACAGG
rnacentral:rRNA from 1 species